UACGUAGGGGGCUAGCGUUGUCCGGAAUCAUUGGGCGUAAAGCGCGUGUAGGCGGUCCGGUAAGUCCGCUGUGAAAGUCGGGGGCUCAACCCUCGGAUGCCGGUGGAUACUGUCGGGCUUGAGUACGGAAGAGGCGAGUGGAAUUCCUGGUGUAGCGGUGAAAUGCGCAGAUAUCGGGAAGAACACCCGUGGCGAAGGCGGCUCUCUGGGACGGUACUGACGCUGAGACGCGAAAGCGUGGGGAGCAAACAGG
rnacentral:rRNA from 1 species